rnacentral:misc_RNA from 1 species
AAGGUAAUUGUGGAAGUGCUGCGUGGGGAUCAGAAAGAGAAGAUCCCUGUACUUCUGGAACCAAAGCCUGAAGAAUCGUAGUUCCUCAAAUGGAUAGAGUAUGUGUUGAUAUGCAUUUCUUGGCGAACAAGCCCAUAUUAUUAGUGCAUCAAUUGUUGAAUGGUUGUGUAUAUACAAAACAACGCUUAAAACUAGGGUGCAAGCAAUAUAGUUGGGAGUCUA